UUGCCAAUAUGAAUUUGUUAUGGCCCAACUGAUUUAAUCAUUUAAUCCAUCUGCAGACCCCAACCACCACUGCAACCAUUGCAACCAUCACCAGUCAACACCACAUCCCAAAUCUGAAAACCCCUCACGAGAACCCUAGAUUUGGCCAACGUCUACCGCCGUAUCUCCCCAACCAAAAAGAUCUGAACUCACAUUCUUCUCUGUUACAAGAUCUGAACUAACCGCCAUCCAAGAUCUGAGCCAGAUCUGGUUGUGAUUUGGUCUAAUGAACUUACCUUCUUCUCUGUUACAUAAGCCUUUGCCACCUGAUAUAUUGUUUUGGUGUUGGGAAUGGAGAUGGUGAUUUGUGCAGGAGGUUGGUUUGUUGGUUGUGGCGAUAGUGGAGACCUCAUAAGAGAGAGAGAGACGAGAAAGAGAGGGAUGGAGGGAUAGAGAGAGAGAGAGAGUAGAGAGAAGUGUAUUUUAUUUAUUGUUUUCUAUGAUUAUUUAUUUUAGUAUUUUGGGUAAAAUGACCAAAACAUCCUCAUGUGGGGUCCAUUUGGUCAUAUUUAACCAUAAAAACUAACUAUGUUAGGGCUAAAGGACGUAACAUGUAAGGAUUUGCAAACAUUGGGUACGUUUUUUGUACUUUUUGAAGAUAAAGGACACACUUUGUAAUAAGUGACAUACAUAAAGGACGAAUU
rnacentral:lncRNA from 1 species